UUAGACUUCUGACAUCGGGAACUGCAGGAUGAGGUUUCAUCAUGUUCCCCAGGCUGGUCUCAUACUCCUGAGUUCAAGCAAUCCACCUGCCUUGGCCACCCAAAGUGCUGGGAUUACAGGUGUGAGCUACUGCGUCUAGCCCUCUUCCAUCGUUUUCAAGGAGGGAUCAGGGGUCAGCUGUUCGCAACUUGGUACGAAUGAGUUUGUCAUUGGAUCACCUCCCUUGGGAGGAAGUCUUGCCCUGGGGAUGUAGGAACAAGAACUAACAUGCUCAGUGCCUCCUAACAGCCCCACUUUACCUAGUGUGUCAAUUCCCCACAGACAAGUAAACUGAGGCCCAGGAAGCAUCGUUGCCUGAGGUUGCCGAGUUGAUAAGCAAAGGUCUCAGUCCCUGUGGACUCAGAGCCUGGGCUUCUCCCCUGGGACCC
rnacentral:lncRNA from 10 species